rnacentral:rRNA from 1 species
AUUGAACGCUGGCGGCAGGCCUAACACAUGCAAGUCGAACGAGUGGCGGACGGGUGAGUAAUGUCUGGGAAACUGCCCGAUGGAGGGGGAUAACUACUGGAAACGGUAGCUAAUACCGCAUACCAUCGGAUGUGCCCAGAUGGGAUUAGCUUGUAGGUGAGGUAACGGCUCACCUAGGCGACGAUCCCUAGCUGGUCUGAGAGGAUGACCAGCCACACUGGAAGUGAGAAACGGUCCAGACGCCUACGGGAGGGAGCAGUGGGGAAUAGUGCACAAUGGGAGCAAGCCUGAUGCAGCCAUGCCGCGUGUGUGAAGAAGGCAUUCGGGUUGUAAAGCACGUUCAGCGGGGAGGCGUUACCCGCAGAAGAAGCACCGGCUAACUCCGUGCCAGCAGCCGCGGUAAUAC